AGCAGCCGCGGUAAUUCCAGCUCCAAUAGCGUAUAUUAAAGUUGUUGCAGUUAAAAAGCUCGUAGUUGAAUUUCGGGAUUGACGUGACGGUCAUGCCUUAAGGGGUAUGAACUGUUACAGUUGAUUUCUCACUUUCUGGAGAAACUUGAUGUCCUUUAUUGGGUGUCUUGCGGAUCCAGGACCUUUACCUUGAAAAAAUUAGAGUGUUUAAAGCAGGCAUUUUUGCUCGAAUACAUUAGCAUGGAAUAAUAGAAUAGGACGGCAUGGUUCUAUUUUGUUGGUUUCUAGGAUCACCGUAAUGAUUAAUAGGGAUAGUUGGGGGCAUUAGUAUUCAAUUGUCAGAGGUGAAAUUCUUGGAUUUAUUGAAGACUAACUACUGCGAAAGCAUUUGCCAAGGAUGUUUUCAUUAAUCAAGAACGAAAGUUAGGGGAUCGAAGACGAUCAGAUACCGUCGUAGUCUUAACCAUAAACUAUGCCGACUAGGAAUCAGACGAUGUUAAUUUUUUAAUGACUCGUUUGGCACCUUACG
rnacentral:rRNA from 1 species